ACGAUGAGCCUUUCGGGGUGGAUUAGUGGCGAACGGGUGAGUAACACGUGGGCAAUCUGCCCUUCACUCUGGGACAAGCCCUGGAAACGGGGUCUAAUACCGGAUAACACUCUGUCCCGCAUGGGACGGGGUUAAAAGCUCCGGCGGUGAAGGAUGAGCCCGCGGCCUAUCAGCUUGUUGGUGGGGUGAUGGCCUACCAAGGCGACGACGGGUAGCCGGCCUGAGAGGGCGACCGGCCACACUGGGACUGAGACACGGCCCAGACUCCUACGGGAGGCAGCAGUGGGGAAUAUUGCACAAUGGGCGAAAGCCUGAUGCAGCGACGCCGCGUGAGGGAUGACGGCCUUCGGGUUGUAAACCUCUUUCAGCAGGGAAGAAGCGAAAGUGACGGUACCUGCAGAAGAAGCGCCGGCUAACUACGUGC
rnacentral:rRNA from 1 species